GGGGAUGUAGCUCAGUGGUAGAGCGCAUGCUUAGCAUGCAUGAGGUCCUGGGUUCAAUCCCCAGCAUCUCCA
rnacentral:tRNA from 1 species